rnacentral:rRNA from 1 species
AUACCNNGGUAGUNCACGCUGUAAACGAUGAACACUUGGUGUGGAGGGAGUUGACCCCUUCCGUGCCGGAGCUAACGCGUUAAGUGUUCCGCCUGGNGAGUACGGUNGCAAGGCUGAAACUCAAAGGAAUUGACGGGGGCCCGCACAAGCGGUGGAGCAUGUGGUUUAAUUCGACGCAACGCGAAGAACCUUACCUGGGCUUGAACUGUAGUGGACCGGUGCAGAGAUGUGCCUUUUCGCAAGAACUGCUACAGAGGUGCUGCAUGGCUGUCGUCAGCUCGUGUCGUGAGAUGUUGGGUUAAGUCCCGCAACGAGCGCAACCCUUACCCGUAGUUGCCAGCGCGUCAUGGCGGGAACUCUACGGGGACUGCCCGGGUUAACCGGGAGGAAGGUGGGGAUGAUGUCAAGUCCUCAUGGCCCUUAUGUCCAGGGCUACACACGUGCUACAAUGGGCGAUACAAACCGUUGCAAAGUCGCGAGAUGGAGCUAAUCGGAGAAAGUCGUCCUCAGUUCGGAUUGUAGUCUGCAACUCGACUACAUGAAGGUGGAAUCGCUAGUAAUCGUGUAUCAGAAUNAUNCG